AUGCUCCUUUCCAAGAUGGCGGCGGAGGGAGGAGGGAAGGAGAUGAACGAGAUUAAGACCCAGUUCACUACCCGGGAGGGGCUGUACAAGCUGCUGAGCCACUCGGAGUACAGCCGGCCCAACCGGGUGCCCUUCAACUCGCAGGGCUCCAACCCCGUCCGCGUCUCCUUCGUCAACGUCAACGACCAGAGCGGCAACGGCGACCGGCUCUGCUUCAAUGUGGGCCGGGAGCUCUACUUCUACAUCUACAAGGGAGUCCGCAAGGCUGCUGACUUGAGUAAACCAAUAGAUAAAAGGAUAUACAAAGGAACACAACCUACAUGCCAUGACUUCAAUCAUUUAACAGCCACAGCAGAAAGUGUGUCUCUACUAGUGGGCUUCUCUGCAGGCCAGGUGCAACUUAUAGAUCCUAUUAAAAAAGAAACUAGCAAACUAUUUAAUGAGGAAAGACUAAUAGACAAGACCAGAGUAACCUGUGUAAAAUGGGUGCCCGGUUCAGAAAGUCUCUUCCUAGUAGCUCAUUCAAGUGGCAAUAUGUACUUGUAUAAUGUGGAACACAAUUGUGGUACCACAGCCCCACACUAUCAGCUACUUAAACAAGGAGAGAAUUUUGCAGUCCACACGUGCAAGAGUAAAUCUACACGAAACCCUCUGCUUAAAUGGACCGUAGGUGAGGGUGCUCUGAAUGAAUUUGCGUUUUCCCCAGAUGGGAAAUUCUUGGCAUGCGUUAGCCAAGAUGGCUUUCUUCGUGUAUUUAACUUUGAUUCGGUGGAGUUGCAUGGUACAAUGAAAAGCUACUUUGGAGGACUGCUGUGUGCUUGUUGGAGCCCAGAUGGAAAAUACAUUGUAACAGGUGGAGAAGAUGACUUGGUGACUGUCUGGUCUUUUGUGGACUGUCGAGUGAUAGCUAGAGGCCAUGGACACAAAUCAUGGGUCAGUGUUGUGGCCUUUGAUCCAUAUACCACUAGUGUAGAAGAAAGCGAUCCAAUGGAAUUUAGUGGCAGUGAUGAGGAUUUCCAAGACCUUCUUCAUUUUGGAAGAGAUAGAGCAAAUAGCACACAGUCUAGGUUAUCAAAAAGGAACUCUACAGACAGUCGCCCAGUAAGUGUAACAUACAGGUUUGGUUCAGUAGGCCAGGAUACGCAGCUAUGUUUAUGGGACCUAACGGAAGAUAUCCUCUUCCCACAUCAACCCCUCUCAAGAGCAAGGACACACACAAAUGUCAUGAAUGCCACAAGCCCACCUGCAGGAAGUGGUGGAGCUAACCCAGGAAGUAAUGGAAACAGCAUCACGACACCUGGAAACUCUGUACCCCCUCCUCUUCCACGGUCAAAUAGCCUUCCACAUUCUGCAGUCUCCAACUCUGGCAGUAAAAGCAGUGUCAUGGAUGGUGCCAUUGCCUCUGGUGUUAGUAAGUUUGCAACCUUAUCACUACAUGACCGGAAGGAAAGACAUCAUGAAAAAGAUCACAAGAGAAACCAUAGUAUGGGACAUAUAUCUAGUAAGAGCAGUGACAAACUGAACCUAGUUACUAAAACCAAAACGGACCCAGCAAAAACUUUGGGAACGCCGCUCUGUCCCAGAAUGGAAGAUGUUCCUUUGUUAGAGCCUCUUAUCUGUAAAAAGAUAGCACAUGAAAGACUGACUGUGUUAAUUUUUCUUGAAGACUGUAUAGUCACUGCUUGUCAGGAGGGAUUUAUUUGCACAUGGGCAAGGCCUGGUAAAGUGUUAAGAAUGCCAGCCUUCAUAGGGUAGGCUCAAGAACUGCUACUGAUUAUGUGCAAGAGGAAAUAUAUUCAAUACUGAUGGGAAGAGAACAGUGCAGAAGGUCAACCUUAGCAGGGUUUAUUGCCAUCCCAAAACCAGGCCAAUUCUCCAAGUGGAACUGUAGUAUAGCCAUCACACUCCUGCUAGCAAAUCUUUGAACACAGAACAAGAAGUAAUGGCAUUGGAACCAGGAGCUGCUGUUCAGCCAGCCAGAGAGCAUCACAAAUUCUUAAAGGCAGAGUGUAAACUUGGGAGUUAUGUGAAUCACAUAGUGUUCUACUAUAUAUAUAUAUAUAU